rnacentral:snRNA from 1 species
UUAAAACGUCUGCAGUAAAUAUACUAAAAUUGGAACGAUGCAGAGAAGAUUAGCAUGGCCCCAGCGCUAGUACGACACGCAAAAUCGUGAAGCAUUCCAAUGAAAA